GUACACGUGUCAUCUUUUAUUAGUUUUACAUGUUUUUUCUUCCCCUCCAAUUUUCUUCUCCUGCAUCUCUAAUUAGGUUUUUAUUUACAGAAUCCUCCCAACCCUUUUCCUAACUUCAGCCGCCAAUGUGAAGAAAAUCCUCCCACCCACCGUAUUCGAUCUUAUUUUUUUCAACUAUCAACGCAUUCUCCCACCGUAUUCGAUCCUCAACCAUCAACACCAGAAGAAUCCUAAAUGACGCCGCCCCUAUUUGUCUUCUAUCUUGAAGAUUCGGAUUGAUAAAAACAAAAAUUGAAGAUUCAGAUUGUAUUUUUUCGUGAUGAUGAUGAAUCGAAGAUCUGGACUAAACCCUAAUUUUAAGAUUUGGAUUGUAUUUGUUCAUGACGGUGAUGAACUAAGGUUGAUUUCAGACUAUUUGAUUGAGCCCUUUUUCUCUCCUCAUUGACUUUCGGUUUUUCAAGGAUGGUAACAUAUCUCCUCGCCGUUGUACAAUUUUUUUUUUGUAGCUAAUGACCCCAUGUUUGUGAUCUAAGCUUACAACUCCUUUAAAUAGACCGAGACCGUGGUCCAUACCCGGCUUAUUCGUUCUCAAAGAGCUUCAAGGGAGUUUUGGGUUUAUACUCUAUGAUGUCAAGUCUAAAACUGUGUUCGUAUCACUUGGUGCAGAUGGGGAAGUGAAGCUCUAUUGGGGCAUAGCAGAUCAUGGCUCUAUGGUAAUUUAUGAUAAAUUGGUGGCCAUUAAGUCUAUUAGAGGCAAAAGACCAAGGCUAAGGAUGAGAUUCGACUUUUUGUUUUUUUUUCUUCUAAAGCGAUGAUUGCUAACCAGAGCAGUAUCUUAAUUCUACAAGAGACGCGUAUCGAUUUAGCGUGGUCCUUGGUGGUGUAUGAGCUGGUGGAUAACCUAGCAAGGCAUGUGGUGAUGAAUGGGGGUGAUUCGGCUUAUGUGGAUCUUUUGUCGUCGGGGUUUGAGAUAAUCCUUGACGGGCCGGUAAUCGUGUUGUGUCGAAUACAGAGAAUGGUGGGGUGGGUGGUGGCGCGGCGGGAAUGUGUCUACUGAGAAUUUUGAUUGCAAGCUUGACCUUAAGGUGAUUGCCCUGCAAGCUCGCAAUGUAGAAUAUAGCCCCAAGAAACCCUAAAUCAUUCUUCCUCACAAUCAAGUCGUUCCUCUCAUCUCGAAAGGCGAUUCUUCAUCUUCAUCUUCGGUUUGCUUGUGCCCUUUCGUAUCCACUGAAACCCUAACCGACCGGAAAAAUCGCCAAAAAUUCAUCACAAUAUGGUAUGUGAUUGGUCAACAACUAUGGAUUUCGUUAUUGCUUCUUUUUGUUACGAGAUCGACGUUGUUGGUUUCACCUAAGGGGUGAUGAUGCUAACCUUUGGUUUCAAUUGUCUGUGAUGGUUGUGCGGCUUAUUUUCGCAAGGCAACCGACAUUUCCUGUGAUAAUCAUGUUUAGGAUUGGAUUAUUGAAAUGACAACAAAUAUUGCUAAUAUGCAUCUUGCUGUUGCAAAAGCCUCUGCCUUUUCUUCUCAUGAAGUGUCAAAGUCAAGCAUUGCAGAUUUCAGUAGUGGUGCGAAAGGUGCGAAAGGUGCAUCAUGUGCAAAGCUUAAAAGAUUGUGGGGUCGUAAUUUUUUUUCUAUAACAUUAGAUAGAUUUCAGAACUGGCUUAAUCCAUAAAAAAUCAAGUUGCAAAAUUCAUUUUUUAACUUAAUCCAUUCAUGCGUCUCCCCCAAUUAUCCAUUUUUUUUUCUCAAUUUUGUUUCCUCCAAAAAAGGAGUGGAUUGCGAACAGAAAUUGUUAUAUAUUGCACCUCCGCCUCACCGAUUUUGCCUCUCCUUCAACAGCCGAACCCACCCUAAUUUGCUGUCAGUAGUUUCUAUUUGUCAUAACUGUAAUUUGUAAAUGAAUAAUAGAAGUUAGUUAGUUCGAAAGUUGGGAAGAAUCACAUGAUAUAUUUUGGAAAUGAAAUUUAAGUGUUCGGUUUCAGUUUGGCGGAAUCACAUUAUAUAUUUUUGAAAUGAAAUUGAAAUGUUCGGUUUGAGUUGGGCAUGUUGAAAUUUGCGCCUAUAAAUCAAGUUUCUGCUUCGGAGGUUAAGACACAUGUUUCUAAGGUACGUUUGUGUUAUUCUUCAUUCAUGUGGCCUUUUAUCUUUUAUAAUAAAUGCUAGCCCAUCUGUUGUUGUUUUUAUUGGCAAUCUAAUGGAAAUGCUGGCAAUCUUAUUGAUUUUGUACUCAAGUUUUGCAUUAGAAAAGAUUGAUACGCAAGAGGGUAUGUCUGUUUUCAUUGUACCGAGGAACCAAAGGUGAUCGAUCAUUGAUGGUGUGAACCGAUUGAUGCAGGGGAGGUACUCAAAGAAUGGCAGAAUGGAGUUUUGGCAAGGAUCCUUGCAGAGAGAAUCCAAAAUUCGACAAAGUCUAUGUGGAGUGCCAUUGCCCUUUUAAAAAUAAUAUCACGUGUCAUAUUAUCAAAAUCGGAGCAAGAUCCGUCUUCUAUGGGCACGAUUCAGAUGUGUAUGCAUCUCCGUUAUAUGGAUGGUGGUGCCACCAAAUAUAAUAAAAAGCAGGAGUCGAUGGUGCUGCCCGAUAAGGUCACAGUUGUUUGCACAGGGGUGGAAGGCAUACUAUCCGAGCCUGCAUUUGGUUGUGUGCAAGUGCGGAUCUUGCGGGACACAAAAUGUGGCACUUAGUGAAUGGGAGAGACAUACAGGGUCAAAAGUUAAAAAUUGGAAAACUAGCAUCAAAGUGAAGGGUUCGUUGUUGCCACUAGAACAAUGGAGGCUACAGGUCGCUGAGUAUCAUGCUCGUGCUGUUGUUUCAGUGAAAUCUAAAAAACGCCCUUCGUUAAAAGCACGAAAGCAGAAAUUGCUUAGUUUUCUUCAAGAAAAAUACGAACCGAUAUGUGCGAAGUGCACAACAUAACGUUGUGUUGUAUGCCGUUGGAUUGAAGAUUGGGACUACAACAAAAUAAUCAUAUGCAUCAGGUGUCAAAUAGCGGUUCACCAAGAAUGUUAUGGGGCAAGAAAUGUUCAAGAUUUUACUUCAUGGGUUUGCCGGUCCUAUGAGACACCGGAUAUUGAGCGAGAAUGUUGUCUCUGCCCUGUAAAAG